ensembl:lncRNA
UGUAUGUCUUCUCUCUCAGGUGUGUGUAUGUCUUCUCUCUCAGGUGUAUGUAUGUCUUCUCUCUCAGGUGUAUGUAUGUCUUCUCUCCCAGGUGUGUGUAUGUCUUCUCUCUCAGGUGUAUGUCUUCUCUCUCAGGUGUGUGUAUGUCUUCUCUCCCAGGUGUGUGUAUGUCUUCUCUCCCAGGUGUGUGUAUGUCUUCUCUCCCAGGUGUAUGUAUGUCUUCUCUCUCAGGUGUGUGUAUGUCUUCUCUCUCAGGUGUGUGUAUGUCUUCUCUCUCAGGUGUGUGUGGAGAAUGUGACGGUCCUGGGGGAGGAUGUUAUCGUGAACGAUGAGCUCUACCUCAACGGUGCCAACGUGCUUCUUCAGAAGUCAAUCACCGACUAUGUCUGAACCUCAUCGCAUCAUCAUGUAGUUCUACAUGUCACCUGUUAAAUCCACUUCAAUCAGUGUAGAUGAAGAGGAGACGGGUUUAAAUGAGGAUUUUCAAGCCUUGAGGCAAUUUGCCUUGGAGUUUUUACUGUUUUUAAAUGUUUCUGUUGUCUUUAUUGUCCGCUUGCCAAAUGGCACCCUAUUCCCUAUGCAGUGCACUACUGUUGGGCCCUGGUCAAAAGUAGUGUACUAUAUAGGGAAUAUGGUGCUGUUUAGGAUGCGAUCUUUAUGCUCUGAUGCCUACCUCUUGUUCUGUUGCCAGUGUCUUUUCUCUAUUGAUUCGGACCAUCAUUGGUCGAAACAAUAGAAGACUGUUUAGAUCGGAUGGGUUCUGUUGAAGACUGUUUAGAUCGGAUGGGUUCUGUUGAAGACUGUUUAGAUCGGAUGGGUUCUGUUGAAGACUGUUUAGAUCGGAUGGGUUCUGUUGAAGACUGUUUAGAUCGGAUGGGUUCUGUUGAAGACUGUUUAGAUCGGAUGGGUUCUGUGGAAGACUGUUUAGAUCGGAUGGGUUCUGUGGAAGACUGUUUAGAUCGGAUGGGUUCUGUUGAGCUGGUGUUUUAGUCCAACAGUGUCUGAAACCUUCACUUACCAGCCAUUCUUGAUUUCCAAAAAGGAUACAUGUUUAAAAAGGCCUUCCUCAAUUUCCUCUCAUCCUGUCUCACAUGUUUGUGUGAGAGCUAAAUCAAGGGGAAAUGUCAUUUGAGAUUCAUCCCGUCUCCUCAACAUCUUUACAGAAGCCAAUAGUGUUAUGUUUGUCUCUUUUUAGAUGUACCACCACCCCCAGGAGAACUAGAGUUCUGUAAGGUUGAGGGGUUAGCACAGGUUGAGAUUGUAAAAUAAAGGUGAGGGAUUUGUGUGAAGAGUUCAAUGUACAGAAUCCCGUGUAUAACUAGAGAUUGACACAAUCGCCAUGGCGCCAAAGCAAAGCAGUGGACCUUUCAAUCAAUCACCGUAUUGAUGAUACCGCUGACGUGUCCAUGUCUAAUCGAAGUUAACUCUUUAUUGUUACAUUUUGGUUUCAGUUUUCUAUACAAUGCAACUUUUUCAUGACUUUGUUGUGAUAUGAUCUAUAUCAAUAAUAUCAUAAGCAUUGGUCUCAAAAGUGUCGCUCAAACAUUUAAAAAAUAAAAAAUAAAAUCUGCC